AGGCAAUUAGCACAUCCGAAUAUGUAAAUGCAGCUCGUACUACACAGUCAGUGUGCGUGCACCUGCGGGGCCGCAGACGGACUAACCCUUUUUAGAGUCUUUUUUUGUUUUUGUUUUGGACCACAAUGAAGAGAAGGAGACGUGGACGAUGAAGCACCUGCUCCUGCAUGCGUGGAAACGCCGAACAAGAUUUUUAUUUUUAUUUGUUUUAAUAAGACGACUGCACGCAGCAACAUUCUCCGACGACGACAAAGAAGACGAAGAGCCAGCUACACGACCCAAUGGUGACAUCUAGUGGCGAUACGGGGGAUGACUGCAAGUGACAAUAAAAAGCGGCUUCUCUUGAGGUGCUCGAAAUUCAAUCAAAGCACCUUUUCCACCAAGACAAAAAUCAAACUUGAUUAGAAAAUACUCUGUCACAGAUAAAAUUCGAACACAUUCAAAUAAAUAUAGCACUUUUAUAUAUUCGCAGAUUUGAAGCAUGGAACAUAACUUAUAAUGUAUUUGACUACGGCAAUUCGACGUUAUCAUGUAUAGUUAAAGUACUGAUUAAUUUUUAUUUAUUUUUACGGAAAAAAGAGCAUUUGUUUCAAUCUAACGUGCUUGGUGUGCACAGUACACAGAAAACCGUAUUAAUGAAUUGACAGAAAGUGUGACUGUGAAUGUUUACAUGCAUUUGCCUCAUUUAAUCCUUUAGAACCUGUUUAAUAUGUAAUCGGAAGGACAUAAUUAACUUUAAUAUAUAUCCAUCUACAUUAGUCUAUUAACAAGAAAUAUAGAUUAGAUUUGAUUUGCUUAUGUAUGUUUUCAACGUUUAUACUGCAAGAUGUAGUCGUUAAAUUAAAUUGCACUUGUGGUGUCCUCGUUGCUUAUUGCUCAUACAUUUUACAUUUUCUUUGGUUAUCUUAAAAACACACAAUUAUCUUAGCAAAAAAAUAAAAAUAAAAAAAUGAAUGGUUGAGAGUCUCCACUGUGUAGAAAUGUUAUUGGGCUAAAAAGUCAUUUUAUAAGCCAAGUUACGUAAAAAAAUAUUACUGUUUAUAUGGCACUUUCUUCCGUACAUUAAAUACACAGAUGAUGAUUUAAAUAUCAAAAAUGGAACGAAUUCAACAAAAGUGAAUGCUAACCGAACAACUACUUAAAAAACCAGACAACAUUAGAAAUGUUUUCAGUUAAGAGUAUUCCAAACGAAAAUAAUAACGAAAAAUACAAAUAAAAACGCAAAGCACUUAAUUUCAAACUGACAAACCAUUCUAGACUUUAUGGUUAUUAUUUAUCUGACUGUAAAGGAACCACACACACAUUAGAAACACGAGAGGCCUUAAAAUUGUGAGGCUCAAACGAAUGAGUUUCCCACUGAAGGCCGACUACAUUUUGUGGUUAAAAUAAUAAUAAUAAUAAUAAUAUAUUUGCAUAUUGUCAGUAAGUAUAUGAAAUGCAUCGUGACAAAAUGCGCAUGUUAUAAUAAACUGGUAAAUUGUAAAUUCUUUGUCUUUGUUGAUUGUCAACUACUUUGUUUGCUUUUCCCAGUCAAUUGAAAUCAUUUAUUUUAAUGUGGGACUUGUAGUAAUGCUUCCCCUGUAAGAUUACAAGAGAAAUGCUGACUAGUGGUCCUUAAUGAUUCUUUUUGUCACCAUUUGUGUGUUGUGCAAACGUUUGUUUGCACCUGGCACCUUCACGUGGAUGGGCUCUUCGAGUCUGCAUUGAAACGAGAGUCAUUGUUAUGGCGACGCAUGCAGAAACAAGUCCAACACAAUGAAGUCACACCAAGUCACAAUGAGGAUAACUAAGAAAGCCACCCCUCGGCGAUCCCACCGCACACAGCUCAGUCCAGUCCCUUGAGUUCCACACACGUGGACUUUCAUUGAACACCAUCACCAGGAGUCUCAAGUGGCGACAAAGGCCAGCUUAUGCCGCUGAAAGCCGCUCAUAUUCUGCACAAAACAUCUCCAAAGAUGCCCCAGUCUCUGGGAGGACACAAGCUACAUUUCACACUACAGACUGACGAUUUAAGCAUUGAACAGAAACAAAAUCCCUUUUUUUUUUCUUCUUCAAGAUUUAAAUAAACCACAAAGCGUGGCGUAACAGAGGGAUGAUAUGCUAUUACACAUGGCUGUACAGGUAGAUGCUCUCCCUUUUGCACUGCAAACUGACUUGACAAUACAUCAGCUGAAGUACUGCUUGGGUCAUUUGGAGGUACCAGCAUUUACUUUUAAUCUCUUAUCUCAACGACAACACAGCAACUGAUCAACAGAUGAUGAAUAAAAUUAAAUGCAACCAUUAAAAAAAAAAAAAAAAAAAGAUAAUAAUAAUAUGCUUCAUGUCUUUGGGUAAUUUUCAACUAAUUAAUCACCGGGACAUGCUGGCAAAAGCUCAAGAUGGGAGUGAAUAUAAAUAGAUGCUGAUAACUGUCAUGUGACUUCUUUAUGCAUGCACUUCGCAGAACACACACAAAAACCAAUGAAGAAGAGUGGUAAAUGCGCUUGGCAUUGACGCACAGUCAAACUGGACUUGAGUGGAAUUGAAGUGUGACAGAAAUUGUACAUUUGAACUUUUUUUUAUUGUCGUUUCAAUGAUUGCAAAAUAAAAACAUGAAUGAAUGUGAAAAUAAUAACUUUAUAACACAAAAAUGCCACUGGCUUUGGUUUUUCCACUCACACGCCUCAAACAUCUUUUAUUUUCCCCUCUCAACCUUUUUGUAUUGAAUUUAAAAAAGAAGAGAGUGAGAAGAACACUGCUAUAGAGGCUCUGCCUCUGUUUGAAUGCACAGACUAUACAGUAACAACAUAGUGAACCUGCAUGAAAUAUGCACAUUGAAAUAUCAUAACACUUAAAUGACAGCAGAUUCAGGUCUCAGAGGCAGCGAUAAGUGGCUAGUUUGGGUAAUCAAAACAGCUAUCGAGCAGAAAAUAGCGAUUGACGAUCAAAUGUUCCUUAGGUAGCUGUCAAAACUGUAGUGAGUUAUGUUUUAUUUGAAAACAAUUUAACGUGAGGAGAUACAGAAUCAAAUUAGGUCUGCAGAUGAUAUGGGAUUAUUCCCCAACAUCCAUUUGCAAAAUUUCAUUACUUAAAUAGCUCAUGGGGGAAAUUGUACAGCUCAAGUCUGGACAUGACAAGAUGAGGUGUAGAGCUGAAUAAGGGAAACCAAGGUCAUGUUCAAUAAGUUAAUUAAGCUUAAGAAUGAAGCAUGUGAGACAUCAAAUGCAUGUUCGGGUCACACGUAAUUGGGCGCCAGUCCUCGCUUCCGCACU